rnacentral:rRNA from 1 species
CCCUUAGAUGUUCUGGGCUGCACGCGCGCCACACUGAUGCGCUCAACGAGUUUACGACCUUGCCCGGAAGGGUUGGGUAAUCUUCUUAAAACGCAUCGUGAUGGGGAUAGAUUAUUGCAAUUAUUAAUCUUCAACGAGGAAUUCCUAGUAAGCGCGAGUCAUCAGCUCGUGCUGAUUACGUCCCUGCCCUUUGUACACACCGCCCGUCGCUCCUACCGAUUGAAUGGUCCGGUGAAGCGUUCGGACCGUGGCCUUUGGACGGUUCGCCGUCUGUUGGCUGCGGGAAGUUCGUUAAACCUUAUCAUUUAGAGGAAGGAGAANUCGUANCA